UCGUGAGCGAUUGCGAAUCUGAAGGAAGUCCGUGGGCAAAUCUCUGGUCUGACGAACAGAAAUCAUAUCAGGCAAUUAUUAUGGAUAAGGCUGCACAACAAGUUGAAGUCCAAUAACUACUCGGGAAAUAAUAAUUGUAAAUAUGGCAGAUACAUGGAGAGGAAGAUUGUGCU
rfam:Parasporobacterium paucivorans DSM 15970 genome assembly, contig: EJ69DRAFT_scaffold00051.51